UUAUUUUUUCACAGAAUUACAAAUCGACCUAAAAAUCGAUUUACCCGGCGAUUAUAACAACAAAACCAAACAUUUGUUUUUAUGUUUUUUGUUGUUUGCAGACAUGAAACAAACACUACUAAACCACAAUGAAUGGAUGUUUUAGUGAAAAGUCCCUUCAGCGUUGAAAGCUAAGAUUAUGGACGGGCCAGAGUACAUUGACAUCCCCGACGUAUGUCGUGUCUGCUUGGCUCGUAGGGGAAAUGUGGGCAUAUUUGAGAUGGAUGACAAGGACAGCGAGGAACUCCUUGGUUACUCUGUAGCGGAUCGUAUCAUGUCUUUUGCUUGUGUUGAGAUUCAAUCCAAUGAUGAUCUCCCUGCCAAAAUCUGCUCCCGAUGCCUCAAGCAGAUAAACCAAGCUUUUAAAUUGAAAGCCCAAUGCGAAUAUGCUGAUGCCACUCUGAGGGAAUUACGCAAGGACACAGCUAGUAAUGUGAUUUGCCUCUCUGCAGAAGAGGGAAGCAAGGAAAGUUUUAAAGAAACCGUAGGUACAGUUGAUGCCAUUCUGACUUCUGAUCCUGUUUCAGAGAUUGAGAGUGUACAAGAUCUAUCUUCUAAUGGAGAUGAAUGUUCAAAUGCCCAAGAUGUGCUGAGUGCACAUGCAGACUGUGAUAAUGAUGUACCUGAAGAAGUGCUGAAUGGGCAUGCAGACUGUGUUAACGAUGCUUCGGAAGAAAAUUUGAAUGCUAUAGACUGUGAUAAUGAUGUCUCUGGAGAAGGCAUUGUCCUCUUGUCCACCAGCGCAGAAAACAAAUACAGAACUGUAUGCAGUACCACCCAACAAAUUUAUUACCAAAAGAAUAAUACCAGCGAUAAAGUUACUUUCAAACUUCAAGCUCAUAAAUCUAUGAAGCAAAUGAGUCAAACAGAGAAUGUCAUAGUUUGUGCUGAAUGUGGAGAACAGUUUUCUAAUAAAAGGAAGAUGGAAGAGCAUGGCCUUUCGUUACCAGGACAUCGGCCAUUCUCGUGUGAGCUGUGUUGGAAAACUUUCAAACGAUUAAGUAAUAAGAAGGAACAUGAAAAAAUGCAUUCUGGUGUGAAACAAUUCCUUUGUAGUGAUUGUGGUGAGUUGGCUACAGGAAAGAAAAAUCAUUAUUGCAUGGCCUUACGUGACAAGGCUGAAAAGGGACAUUCUUGUGAUGUGUGUGGAAAGAACUUUGUCAGUCAGACAUCUCUAGGAACACACAAAAAGAGACAUAACACUCAAUCCAAAUUUCAGUGCAAAGAAUGUGAUAAACUGUACUUCAGCCGGCAAGAGCUAGAAAGACAUCUGCGAGUGCAUUUUAACAUCCGUCCCUUCAACUGUCUUGAUGAAAGCUGCUCACUAACAUUUUUUUCUCAAGGAGAACUGAACAGGCAUUUGAGAUACCAUGAAGGUUUAAGAAGGUUCUCCUGUGAUAUAUGUGGACAGAAGUUUUUUGAAAGUGGUCAUUUAGCAUGUCACCAGAGAAAGCACACUGGAGAACGACCAUAUGCCUGCCGUCACUGUCCAAAAUCUUUCACAGACAGUUCAAAGUUAAGGAGGCAUUCCCUGGCCCACAAAAAGUCAACAUCCAAGAAAAAGGCUACUGCUCUAUCUAAUGUCACUACUGAUCUAGAAAUGACCUCUGAUCCAGAAACAUGUAAUGUAGAAUUAGAAAUCACAGUACCACAAGAGGAUAUGAGGCCAGAGUAACUGGUAGAUUCAUAAAUAUUGUUUCCAUAUUAACAAGUAUAUUGACAUUAAAUUACUACUAUCUUUAUUUUCAACCUCAUAUGAGUUCUACAGUAUUUAUUGAUACCUGAGUCAAGCAAUUACCGGUAAGUAUAAAUGAAGGUAUUAUGAAUAUUUGAUCUCUGAGCCCAGGGAAGAAAGAGCAGCUUUGUCAAAUUUAUAAUACAAACUUACUGUACAUUCAUAAAAAGAUAUAUACAAAAUCAAAGUU
rnacentral:misc_RNA from 1 species